rnacentral:rRNA from 1 species
GAUGAACGCUGGCGGCGUGCCUAAUACAUGCAAGUCGAGCGAACAGACGAGGAGCUUGCUCCUCUGACGUUAGCGGCGGACGGGUGAGUAACACGUGGAUAACCUACCUAUAAGACUGGGAUAACUUCGGGAAACCGGAGCUAAUACCGGAUAAUAUAUUGAACCGCAUGGUUCAAUAGUGAAAGACGGUUUUGCUGUCACUUAUAGAUGGAUCCGCGCCGCAUUAGCUAGUUGGUAAGGUAACGGCUUACCAAGGCAACGAUGCGUAGCCGACCUGAGAGAGUGAUCGGCCACACUGGAACUGAGACACGGUCCAGACUCCUACGGGAGGCAGCAGUAGGGAAUCUUCCGCAAUGGGCGAAAGCCUGACGGAGCAACGCCGCGUGAGUGAUGGAGGUCUUCGGAUCGUAAGACUCUGUUAUUAGGGGAGAACAAAUGUGUAAGUAACUAUGCACGUCUUGACGGUACCUAAUCAGAAAGCCACGGCUAACUACGUG